rnacentral:rRNA from 1 species
GUUAAGAAUCUUGCGCAAUGGGCGCAAGCCUGACGCAGCGACGCCGCGUGGACGAUGAAGGCCUUCGGGUUGUAAAGUCCGUUAAGCAGGGAAGAAUAAGCAACGGGAAAUAUUCGUUGUGAUGACGGUACCUGCCUAAAGCCCCGGCUAACUACGUGCCAGCAGCCGCGGUAAUACGUAUGGGGCGAGCGUUGUUCGGAAUUAUUGGGCGUAAAGGGCGUCUAGGCGGGGGAUUAAGUUAGUUGUGAAAUCCAUGGGCUCAACCCAUGAACUGCAUCUAAAACUGAUUCUCUUGAGUUCUGGAGAGGAGAGCGGAAUUCCCGGUGUAGCGGUGAAAUGCGUAGAUAUCGGGAAGAACACCAGUGGCGAAGGCGGCUCUCUGGCCAAGAACUGACGCUGAAGCGCGAAAGCGUGGGGAGCGAACGGGAUUAGAUACCCGUGUAGUCC